rnacentral:rRNA from 1 species
UACAGAGGUGGCAAGCGUUGUUCGGAAUUACUGGGCGUAAAGGGCGCGUAGGUGGCCUUCUUAGUCAGACGUGAAAUCCCCAGGCUUAACCUGGGAACUGCGUCUGAUACUGGAUGGCUAGAGUUUGGGAGAGGGAUGCGGAAUUCCAGGUGUAGCGGUGAAAUGCGUAGAUAUCAGGAGGAACACCGGUGGCGAAGGCAGCACUCUGGGGACGUG